UACGUAGGGUGCAAGCGUUGUCCGGAAUUAUUGGGCGUAAAGAGCUCGUAGGCGGUUUGUUGCGUCUGCUGUGAAAUCCCGAGGCUCAACCUCGGGUCUGCAGUCGAUACGAGCAAACUAGAGUGUUGCAGGGGAGACUGGAAUUCCUGGUGUAGCGGUGAAAUGCGCAGAUAUCAGGAGGAACACCGGUGGCGAAGGCGGGUCUCUGGGCAUGAUCUGACGCUGAGGAGCGAAAGUGUGGGGAGCGAACAGG
rnacentral:rRNA from 1 species